UCACUGCUUGCGCAGGCAGUCUCGCAUGAGUCCCCAACUGAAUGCUGGCAACAUGCGACGGGGGUUGCGCUCGUUGCGGGACUUAACCCAACAUCUCACGACACGAGCUGACGACAGCCAUGCACCACCUGUGAAAGUGCCCCGAAGGGAAGCCGUGUUUCCACGGCGGUCACUCACAUGUCAAGCCCAGGUAAGGUUCUUCGCGUUGCGUCGAAUUAAACCACACGCUCCGCUGCUUGUGCGGGCCCCCGUCAAUUCUUUUGAGUUUUAGCCUUGCGGCCGUACUCCCCAGGCGGAACACUUAUCGCGUUGGCUGCGGCACGGAGGGAUUCGACUCCCCCCACACCUAGUGUUCAUCGUUUACGGCUAGGACUAC
rnacentral:misc_RNA from 1 species